AUCUACAGGCUUAACACAUGCAAGUCGAGGGGCAGCAUGGUCUUAGCUUGCUAAGGCCGAUGGCGACCGGCGCACGGGUGAGUAACGCGUAUCCAACCUGCCUUACACUCUUGGACAGCCUUCUGAAAGGGAGAUUAAUACAAGAUGUUAUCAUGAGUAAGCAUUUUCGCAUGAUUAAAGGUUUACCGGUGUAAGAUGGGGAUGCGUUCCAUUAGAUAGUAGGCGGGGUAACGGCCCACCUAGUCUUCGAUGGAUAGGGGUUCUGAGAGGAAGGUCCCCCACAUUGGAACUGAGACACGGUCCAAACUCCUACGGGAGGCAGCAGUGAGGAAUAUUGGUCAAUGGACGAGAGUCUGAACCAGCCAAGUAGCGUGAAGGAUGAAGGUUCUAUGGAUUGUAAACUUCUUUUAUACGGGAAUAAACGAAUCCACGUGUGGAUUUUUGCAUGUACCGUAUGAAUAAGGAUCGGCUAACUCCGUGCCAGCAGCCGCGGUAAUACGGAGGAUCCGAGCGUUAUCCGGAUUUAUUGGGUUUAAAGGGAGCGUAGAUGGGUUGUUAAGUCAGUUGUGAAAGUUUGCGGCUCAACCGUAAAAUUGCAAUUGAUACUGGCAGUCUUGAGUACAGUUGAGGUAGGCGGAAUUCGUGGUGUAGCGGUGAAAUGCUUAGAUAUCACGAAGAACUCCGAUUGCGAAGGCAGCUUACUAACCUGUAACUGACAUUGAUGCUCGAAAGUGUGGGUAUCAAACAGGAUUAGAUACCCUGGUAGUCCACACGGUAAACGAUGAAUACUCGCUGUAGGCGAUAUACAGUCUGCGGCCAAGCGAAAGCAUUAAGUAUUCCACCUGGGGAGUACGCCGGCAACGGUGAAACUCAAAGGAAUUGACGGGGGCCCGCACAAGCGGAGGAACAUGUGGUUUAAUUCGAUGAUACGCGAGGAACCUUACCCGGGCUUAAAUUGCAACCGAAUAUGGCGGAAACGCUAUAGCUAGCAAUAGCGGUUGUGAAGGUGCUGCAUGGUUGUCGUCAGCUCGUGCCGUGAGGUGUCGGCUUAAGUGCCAUAACGAGCGCAGCCCUUGCCGAUAGUUACUAACAGGUCAUGCUGAGGACUCUGUCGGGACUGCCAUCGUAAGAUGUGAGGAAGGUGGGGAUGACGUCAAAUCAGCACGGCCCUUACGUCCGGGGCUACACACGUGUUACAAUGGGGGGUACAGAGGGCUGCUACCACGCAAGUGGAUGCCAAUCCCAAAAACCUCUCUCAGUUCGGAUUGAAGUCUGCAACCCGACUUCAUGAAGCUGGAUUCGCUAGUAAUCGCGCAUCAGCCACGGCGCGGUGAAUACGUUCCCGGGCCUUGUACACACCGCCCGUCAAGCCAUGGGAGCCGGGGGUACCUGAAGUGCGUAACCGCAAGGAGCGCCCUAGGGUAAAACUGGUGACUGG
rnacentral:rRNA from 1 species